CUCAGGUAAAGGACAUUUGGUUUGCAAUGUUAUAUGAUUAAUUUUGAAUUGUUUUCGUGAAAAUACAUCACAUAUUGAGAGAUAUAUAUAUAUAUAUAUGCACACGCACACACACACAUACCCUAUUUUCUUACGCCAACGUUCAGAAGCUUUGAGAGGGGGUUAUAUUGUUAUCCCACGGAAGGAGGACAUACGUCUGCUAUCCAGUUUUUACAGUUCAAUUCGGUUCUACAGUUUUCGGUUUCUGCUGGUAUUCGGAUCGUUAGGGAAAGAGGAAGAGUUGUGGAGUGCUACACAUUAUAUACUAGUUGUUGAGUGCUCAUUGGUUACACUGUUACUAUGCAAGGUUAUGUUUAUUUUUCUCUUCUGUAUACAUCUCUCUCUUUGCUGCUGAGGGAAAUUAAAAGGAAAGAGAAAGCAUAAUAGUAGCCUCCGUGUCAUUAAUAAAAUCAUGACUUUAUGUCAUGUUAAUAGUAAAAUCUGGGAAUUUUUAGAUUGUAGUGCUAAGACUGUCUCUAAAGGCUGCCUACCAGACAGCCAAUAAAGGCGCUUCCAGCUGUUUCACGGAGUUUGACUCAGUGAUAUUACAUUGGACAUCCUCGUGCUGUUCAGAGUUAUCAAACCCCCCCAGAGAAAAACAUUGAUUUAAUGCCUUCCGAUGGAGAAGGCCAAAUGCGCCCACAUGUGCAUUAAAUUCCACCUUGGAGCUGACGUCAGAGGAGGCGGAUCUGGAGUUAGAGCCGAGGGACUUCGGCACUGUGAUAAGGUAACUAAGAAUGUAAUUUUUUUUUUAACUAUUUAACUGCCAUGUGUGGGGCAGAGGGACA